rnacentral:rRNA from 1 species
CCUGGGGUAUGCUACUGAAUCACAGACAUGUCAAAUUGGCAUAGUAGGUGAUAACAUAAGGGAAAAUAAUGCAUGAUACCUUAUUAUUAGUGCUGUCCAAAACUCGUGCCAGAAGACUCGGUAAGGCGAGAGGCGCAAACGUUAGUCGUCUUAAUCAGGCGUAAAGGGUUCGUAGGCCGCUUAGAACAUCAAUUUUUUUAUUUAUAUUAGUAUAAAGUAAAAUCAAAGUUAUUCAUCGAUGAUUGGUAGUGCUUUCAUCAAUAGAUACAAUUUUGGUUAAACUAAAGAAAAAAUUAGAUUAUUAAAAGCUAGGAUCUUGUUGGGGUUAUAUCAAAUAAUACUUAAGGAAGAGCUGGGAUGUAUAGAUCUUAUGGGGAAUACUAAGGCGAAGGCUAUUUUUCCACUAAGGAUCGACGCUGAGGAACGAAGGGGAGAACAGGAAAAAGGAUUAGAUACCCAAGUACCUCUCCCUGUCAACGAUGAAUGGUGAAUUUUUAGGAUUUUAAUAUAACUAGUGUGUAUGCUAACGCGAUAACCAUUCCGCCUUGUGAGUACGGUUGCAAAACUGAAAACAAAAAAAUUAGUCGGUCUCGAAGCAAACGAAGUGAAGCAUGUUGUUUAAUACGAUAAUCCGCGUAAAACCUUACCAGUUCUUGCAUACAAACUUCUAUCCGUUAAUUAUUGUUAAAGAGCUUUAGUAAAGGGUUUAUUUUAACCUUUUAUUUUAGAGAUUUAAUAGUAAUUUUGGAGUCAUAGGAGGAGUGUUAAUAAAAUAAAUUUAAAAAAAUAAAAAACACUUUGCUACAGGUGUUGCAUGGCUGUCGUCAGUCCGUGUCGUGAGAAGUGAGAUUAAUUUCGGUAACGGACAAAAUCCCUGUUAUUCAUUUAUACUGAAUAAUUAAUGGUUAUGAUAGAUUACCAUUU